rnacentral:rRNA from 1 species
CCUACGUGAGGCAGCAGUGGGGAAUAUUGCACAAUGGGGGAAACCCUGAUGCAGCGACGCCGCGUGAGUGAAGAAGUAAUUCGUUAUGUAAAGCUCUAUCAGCAGGGAAGAAAAUGACGGUACCUGAGUAAGAAGCCCCGGCUAACUACGUGCCAGCAGCCGCGGUAAUACGUAGGGGGCAAGCGUUAUCCGGAUUUACUGGGUGUAAAGGGAGCGUAGACGGCAGUGCAAGUAUGGAGUGAAAGGCGGGGGCUCAACACCCGGACUGCUCUGGAAACUGUACGGCUGGAGUGCAGGAGAGGUAAGUGGAAUUCCUAGUGUAGCGGUGAAAUGCGUAGAUAUUAGGAGGAACACCAGUGGCGAAGGCGGCUUACUGGACUGUAACUGACGUUGAGGCUCGAAAGCGUGGGGAGCAAACAGGAUUAGAUACCCGGGUAGUC